ensembl:lncRNA
CGUAUCCGUUUUAUAGCAGCUAAACCCUGCAUGUGGUUGUGCUGUCACGUUAUAAAGAAAUGACAUUGGUGUGGUGUGAACUGAACUCCUUGAAUUCACGAGCAGUUAUGCUAUUAGAAUCAUUUUGGAGGUUAAACAAACAUUUCUAACAUUUCAGAUCAAACAGAAGCACCGUUGCUGUAACGCCAACCCUUAGUCUGAUUGUUCGUUUUAUGUCAGUGACAGAUUAUAAAUCGUAAAGUUAAACUAGGUCCUCUCCAGCACGGCAUUUCAUAUUUUUGAUCAUCUGUAGGCUAUUCAAACUUUUUUUUUUUUUUGGAUAAUUUCAGGUUUUAUUAUUAUUUCAUUAUUAUUUUCAUGGCAGUUCCACAAACAACAUUCUCUUUUUAAAGAAAUCUUUAUGAAUUCUCCUUCACACUUUCCCUGGGAUCAUGAUGUUUUCCAUAGAGGUCAGUGAAUAACAACCAGAAAAAAUAAAGGAUUUUUUUUUUUCCAACUAUUGGACUGCAAGCCAUUAAUGGCAGAUUUAUGUUAAACAAACCUCACUGUGUUAAAUACUCAGAUUUUCCAAAUGUUAGAGGGUUCCUUUAAAGGUAUUGACAUUUCAUUAGCUUUCAUUGCUACAGACGACAUUUCAGCAGUGUUCCUUUGCACAUGUCUUCCAGUGAAUCACAGGAACAAGGCCAUACUUAAUUGUUUAUUACUAUAUUUUUUAGAUUCUCACAGUGAAUGUAUUCUUUUAAAAGAUAUUGAGUAUAUAUUGUCUUAUUAAUGCAUUGUGUCUUUGCUUGUUCAUGUAACUGGUAUGUUUUCUCCAGUCUUCGUUUGGCUUACCUCACUGUGCUCUUUCCCAUGCCUUUGUAAGAAGCAACUUGAAUGUUAAGCCAUUUAUUCAGUCAUUUUCAUUACAUUUCAACAUUCCUUCAAACGUGCACAUUGAAUUCAGCAAAGAGCAAACGUUUUACACUAUUUCCCACAAAGAGAGAAAGCAGCAGAUGUUUGAUAAAGAAUGAGAUGGUAAAAGCUCUGUCACAUGAGGCUGGUCUCUUUCUAUUACAGAAACUCUGGAGAUCAGGUGCAUUUCCAUUUUGCCAUAUAAUCUACUCAGUGUCUUGGUUUCAGACUGAUUUCGUCAUCCGGUCCUUUGCCGAAUGAUUCUCAGUGAUUUAGCUGUGCGCUACAAACAAAGGCGGUCCUUGAAGUCAGUAUCCAUUGCCAUAAACUGAAUUACUUUGCCUUUUCUUGAGCACAUUGUAUUUGGUGUAUUCUUCCAGUAGAGUACACAGCUGAUGGAACUUCACCAAAUAAUCACUGAAGCACAUCUUUGUGUGAUAAAGCCAAGGGAAACAUAAAGCCAUGAUCAGUUAGUGACUGAAUGAGAGGGAACUUGAACUGUUCCACAACAGCAAGGUGACCUUUCUGGGUUCAUCUGAAACCUACACAGAUUUCAAAUGAAAAUGUAACGUUUGAGAUGUUGUUCUGCUGUAAAUGCAUUUAACCCUUCCUGUCGCUGCUCGCAUUCUUCUUUGAGAGGAGACAACUCUCUUGUCUUGUGGCAAUGCACUGAUUGGGUCACAAGACCUCGAGGGGAUCAGUAUGGCAGGCUGUUAUCUUUGUUUUUCUCAAACAAACUUUUUUUUUUUUUUAAUGAUAUUGUCUUUGUCACAUUGGUCUCAUUUGGUUUUGAAUUUAUUCCCAUAUAUAUAUGUUUUUGUUCAUCAUAAAAACCGAAGGUACAAUAAAAAA